rnacentral:rRNA from 1 species
GAGACCCACGCCCACAGUUGCCAGCGUACUCUCCGGAGUGACGGGUACACUGUGGGGACCGCCGCUGCUAAAGCGGAGGAAGGAAUGGGCAACGGUAGGUCAGUAUGCCCCGAAUAUCCCCGGCUACACGCGAGCUACAAUGGUUGGUACAAUGGGUAUCUACCCCGAAAGGGGAUGGAAAUCUCCUAAAGCCAAUCUUAGUUCGGAUUGAGGGCUGCAACUCGCCCUCAUGAAGCUGGAAUCCGUAGUAAUCGCGUUUCAACAGAACGCGGUGAAUAC